rnacentral:rRNA from 1 species
GAUGAACGCUAGCGGCAGGCCUAACACAUGCAAGUCGAGGGGUAACUAGAGUGAUAGCAAUAUUACUCUGGCUAGACCGGCGCACGGGUGCGUAACACGUAUGCAACCUACCUUAUACUGGGGAAUAACUUCGAAAAACCGGCACUAAUACCUCAUAAAAUUGCGAAAAGGCAACUCAUUGCAAUUAAAGCUCCGGCAGUAUAAGAUGGGCAUGCGUCCAAUUAGCUAGGUGGUGAGGUAACGGCUCACCAAGGCUACGAAUGGUAGGGGUUCUGAGAAGAUGAUCCCCCACACUGGUACUGAGACGCGGACCAGACUCCUACGGGAGGCAGCAGAGAGGAAUAUUGCGCAAUGGACGAAAGUCUGACGCAGCCAUGCCGCGUGCAGGAUGACGGCCCUAUGGGUUGUAAACUGCUUUUGUACGGGAAUAAACCCUUCUACGUGUAGGAGGCUGAAGGUACCGUAAGAAUAAGCACCGGCUAACUCCGUGCCAGCCGCCGCGGUAAUAC